rnacentral:rRNA from 1 species
GGUGGAUUGAUUUGUCUGGUUUAUUCCGAUAACGAACGAGACUCUAUCCUACUAAUAGUUUCACGAUUUUCAAGUCAUGUAGACUUCUUAGAGGGAUAAGCGGUGUUUAACCGCACGAGAUUGAGCGAUAACAGGUCUGUGAUGCCCUUAGAUGUCCGGGGCUGCACGCGCGCUACACUGGAGAAUUCAGCUGGUCUUCCAUUGCCGAAAGGUAUUGGUAAACCGUUGAAACUUCUCCGUGACCGGGAUAGGGAAUUGUAAUUAUUUCCCUUGAACGAGGAAUUCCUAGUAAGUGUGAGUCAUCAGCUCACGCUGAUUACGUCCCUGCCCUUUGUAC